rnacentral:rRNA from 1 species
UACGUAGGGGGGCAAGCGUUGUCCGGAAUCAUUGGGCGUAAAGAGCGUGUAGGCGGCUCGGUAAGUCCGCUGUGAAAGUCCAGGGCUCAACCCUGGAAAGCCGGUGGAAACUGUCGAGCUCGAGUCCGGAAGAGGCGAGUGGAAUUCCUGGUGUAGCGGUGAAAUGCGCAGAUAUCAGGAGGAACACCAAUGGCGAAGGCAGCUCGCUGGGACGGUACUGACGCUGAGGCACGAAAGUGUGGGGAUCAAACAGG